rnacentral:rRNA from 1 species
UGGGGAAUAUUGCACAAUGGGCGCAAGCCUGAUGCAGCCAUGCCGCGUGUAUGAAGAAGGCCUUCGGGUUGUAAAGUACUUUCAGUCGGGAGGAAGGUGGUAAGGUUAAUAACCUUAUCAAUUGACGUUACUGACAGAAGAAGCACCGGCUAACUCCGUGCCAGCAGCCGCGGUAAUACGGAGGGUGCAAGCGUUAAUCGGAAUUACUGGGCGUAAAGCGCACGCAGGCGGUUGAUUGAGUCAGAUGUGAAAUCCCCGGGCUUAACCCGGGAAUUGCAUCUGAUACUGGUCAGCUAGAGUCGUGUAGAGGGGGGUAGAAUUCCAUGUGUAGCGGUGAAAUGCGUAGAGAUGUGGAGGAAUACCGGUGGCGAAGGCGGCCCCCUGGGCAAAGACUGACGCUCAGGUGCGAAAGCGUGGGGAGCAAACAGG